rnacentral:rRNA from 1 species
ACCAAUGACAUUGCCUCAGUACGGCGAGUGAGCGGCAAAAGCUCAAAUUUUAAAGCUGGCAUCUUCGGUGUCCGCGUUGUAAUUUUGUGAGGCAUCUCCGGGUAGGGCGCCGGCCUAAGUUCCUUGGAACAGGACGUCACAGAGGGUGAGAAUCCCGUGCUUGGCUGGCUGUCCCCGUCCAUGUGAGGUGUCUUCGACGAGUCGAGUUGUUUGGGAAUGCAGCUCAAAAUGGGUGGUAAAUUUCAUCUAAAGCUAAAUAUUGGUGGGAGACCGAUAGCGCACAAGUAGAGUGAUCGAAAGAUGAAAAGCACUUUGAAAAUAGAGUUAAAAAGUACGUGAAAUUGUUGAAAGGGAAGCGCUUGAGAUCAGACUUCGGUAGGGGGUGAUCAGCCGUCCUUCUGGGCGGUGCACUUGCCCCUCUCCGGGCCAGCAUCGGUUGAGGCGGCGGGAUAAAGGUCCCGGGAAUGUGGCUCCUUCGCGGGAGUGUUAUAGCCCGGGUGAAUGCCGCCAGUCUCGACCGAGGACCGCACCCGCAAGGGUUAGGAUGCUUGGCAUAAUGGUCUUCAGCGACCCGUCUUGAACCCCCGGACCAAAA